AGUGAACGCUGGCGGUAGGCCUAACACAUGCAAGUCGAACGGCAGCACAGUAAGAGCUUGCUCUUACGGGUGGCGAGUGGCGGACGGGUGAGGAAUACAUCGGAAUCUACUUUUUCGUGGGGGAUAACGUAGGGAAACUUACGCUAAUACCGCAUACGACCUACGGGUGAAAGCAGGGGAUCUUCGGACCUUGCGCGAUUGAAUGAGCCGAUGUCGGAUUAGCUAGUUGGCGGGGUAAAGGCCCGCCAAGGCGACGAUCCGUAGCUGGUCUGAGAGGAUGAUCAGCCACACUGGAACUGAGACACGGUCCAGACUCCUACGGGAGGCAGCAGUGGGGAAUAUUGGACAAUGGGCGCAAGCCUGAUCCAGCCAUACCGCGUGGGUGAAGAAGGCCUUCGGGUUGUAAAGCCCUUUUGUUGGGAAAGAAAAGCAGCAGGUUAAUACCCCGCUGUUCUGACGGUACCCAAAGAAUAAGCACCGGCUAACUCCGUG
rnacentral:rRNA from 1 species